CGAAGCUUUGAAUGUUUCUUGUGUUUCUUCUUCGACUUCUUUUUCUUGUCAUCCUUUUGCUUCUUUCUCUUUCGUC
rnacentral:ribozyme from 12 species